rnacentral:lncRNA from 1 species
GUCCUGUUAGAUAACAAUUUUAUCGUUUAUGUUUUUUUCACGUCAUGUUGGUCAUUCACCUAUGUUUUGAUAUGAAUUUCAGGCUUGAAAUCUAGGUUUUUUUAUUUGUCAGCUCUUCGUCUGAAAUAUAUUAUAUGCCAAAAAAAAUCAUUUGAAAAUUGAAAUUUCAUAUGCAAACAUGACGAAAGAUCAAAGGUACAAUGAAACGAAC